AGAGCCUAGGGGCGCAGCAGUGGGGAAUAUUGGGCAAUGGACGCAAGUCUGACCCAGCAACGCCGCGUGAAGGAAGAAGGCUUUCGGGUUGUAAACUUCUUUUAAGGGGGAAGAGGAGAAGACGGUACCCCUUGAAUAAGCCACGGCUAACUACGUGCCAGCAGCCGCGGUAAUACGUAGGUGGCAAGCGUUGUCCGGAUUUACUGGGUGUAAAGGGCGUGCAGCCGGGCUGACAAGUCAGAUGUGAAAUCCGUGGGCUUAAC
rnacentral:rRNA from 1 species